GGCCGGCCCCGGGGCCUCCAUGAUGGAGGAGCGAGCGGCCGCCGCGGUCGCAUCGGCCGCCUCCUCCUGUCGCCCUCUGGGCUCGGGCACGGCUCCCAACCCGGCGGCGGCGGCGGCCCCGGCCUCCAGCCCUGCUCCCGGCCCCGUCCCGGUAGGUAAAGGAGGUGGCGGCGGAGGCAGCCCGGGCCCCACGGCGGGCCCGGAGCCCCUCAGCCUGCCAGGGAUCCUGCACUUUAUCCAACACGAGUGGGCACGCUUCGAAGCCGAGAAGGCCCGCUGGGAGGCCGAGCGCGCCGAGCUGCAGGCCCAGGUGGCUUUCCUCCAGGGUGAGAGGAAAGGCCAAGAGAAUCUGAAGACAGACCUGGUGCGGCGCAUCAAGAUGCUGGAGUACGCGCUGAAGCAGGAGAGGGCCAAAUAUCAUAAACUGAAGUUUGGAACAGACCUGAAUCAGGGGGAGAAGAAGGCAGAUCUGUCAGAACAAGUUUCCAACGGCCCUGUGGAGUCAGUCACACUGGAGAACAGCCCAUUGGUGUGGAAGGAGGGGCGACAGCUUCUGCGACAGUACCUGGAAGAGGUGGGCUACACGGAUACCAUCCUGGACAUGCGGUCCAAGCGAGUGCGUUCCCUUCUGGGCCGUUCGCUGGAGCUCAAUGGGGCUGCUGAGCCAAUCGAGGGGGCCCCCAGGGCUUCACCAGCUCCCGGGGGACUUAGCGGUGGCGAGUCUCUGCUGGUGAGACAGAUCGAGGAACAGAUCAAGAGGAAUGCAGCUGGCAAAGAUGGCAAGGAGCGCCUGGGUGGCUCCGUGCUGGAGCAGAUCCCCUUCCUGCAGAACUGCGAGGAUGAGGACAGCGAUGAGGACGAUGAACUGGACAGUGUGCAACACAAGAAGCAGCGUGUGAGGCUCCCAUCCAAGGCCCUAGUGCCUGAAAUGGAAGACGAGGAUGAGGAAGAUGACUCAGAAGAUGCCAUCAAUGAGUUUGAUUUCCUGGGCUCAGGAGAAGAUGGGGAGGGGUCUCCAGAUCCUCGACGGUGUGCUUCAGAAGGGAACCCCCAUGAGCUGGAAAGCCGUCGGGUCAAACUCCAGGGAAUUCUUGCUGACCUCCGGGAUGUUGAUGGGCUGCCCCCCAAAGUGACUGUCCCACCUCCUGGCACACCCCAGCCCCGGCCUCAUGAAGACGUCUUCAUCAUGGACACUAUCGGGGGCGGGGAGGUGAGCCUGGGGGACUUGGCAGAUCUCACCGUCACCAAUGACAACGACCUCAGCUGUGACCUGUCUGACAGCAAAGAUGCCUUCAAGAAGACAUGGAACCCCAAGUUUACCCUCCGCUCACACUACGAUGGCAUUCGAUCCCUGGCCUUCCACCACAGCCAGUCAGCACUGCUUACUGCCUCUGAGGAUGGCACACUCAAACUGUGGAACCUUCAGAAGGCAGUCACAGCCAAGAAAAACGCCGCACUGGAUGUGGAGCCGAUUCAUGCUUUCCGCGCUCACAGGGGCCCUGUGCUGGCAGUCACCAUGGGCAGCAACAGCGAGUACUGUUACAGUGGUGGGGCUGAUGCCCGAAUACACAGCUGGAAGAUCCCUGACCUCAACAUGGACCCAUAUGAUGGCUACGACCCAAGUGUGCUGAGCCAUGUCCUGGAAGGCCAUGGGGACGCUGUGUGGGGUCUGGCUUUCAGUCCCACCUCCCAGCGCCUAGCAUCCUGCUCUGCUGAUGGCACUGUCCGCAUCUGGGAUCCCAGCAGCAGUAGUCCAAGCUGCCUUUGCACCUUCCCCAUGGCUGGAGAACACGGGAUCCCCACCUCCGUGGCCUUCACCAGCACUGAGCCUGCCCAUGUCGUGGCCUCUUUUCGUUCUGGUGAUACUGUUCUUUAUGACUUGGAAGCUGGCAGCGCCCUUCUCACAUUGGAGUCCCGAGGGAACAGCGGCCCAACACAGAUCAACCAGGUGGUGAGUCACCCAAAUCAGCCCCUCACCAUCACUGCGCAUGACGAUAGGGGUAUCCGAUUCCUGGACAAUCGGACAGGUAAGUCCGUGCAUUCCAUGGUUGCCCACCUGGACGCAGUCACCUGCCUAGCCGUGGAUCCGAAUGGAGUGUUCUUGAUGUCGGGAAGCCACGACUGUUCUCUGCGCUUAUGGAGCCUAGACAACAAGACAUGUGUGCAGGAGAUCACGGCCCACCGCAAGAAGCACGAGGAGGCCAUCCAUGCAGUGGCCUGCCACCCCAGCAAGGCUCUUAUCGCCAGUGCUGGUGCUGACGCCCUAGCCAAGGUCUUCGUAUGAUCCCACCUGGCCUCGCCCUGGCUGCACGGUGGCAGGGAGCGGGGCCAGGCCGGUGGGGCUGAGGCAGCCCCCAGCCUCCCUUGAGAGGCUCAGAGUCUUGGCCUCUUUCAUCUUCUGGAGCCUGGUGGUGCUAAUGGCCCUUUCCCCAGAUAUCACCCCUCAAGGAUGGCCUCUGGGGUUUCUGCUCAUGUCCUAUCCCCAACUCCUGACAUAGUGUCACCCUGAGUGUGGCACAGCCAGGGCUAGGUGUCCAAGGUGAUAGAAGGUACCAGGCUCCACCCUAGAGAGCCACCUUCCUCACCCAUUAGAUGAAGGCUGUGCUGAGAGGGGUCUCCUGUGGCCUCCUGCGUGGGCCCCAGGCUGUCCUUUCGGACCUCAGUCCCUUCCUCCUGCUUUCCAACACUAACCAAGCCUCUGGGGCCAAGCCUUCCUGGGGAGGGGCCUCCACUCCUCCAGGGCACUGUCCUAGCCACAGGCCCUCCUUGAUGGAGAGGUGGAGUGUGCCCCGGGCCCCUAGCUUGCUGUAUAUCUGUAUAAAUGAAUGGGAUUUUAAUGGCGCCCACCCCACGUUAUCACUGUGUGAUAGUUUGUCAGUCUCCUCCCAGUUCCUCACUUUUGCCUCUUAUUUAUUUCACUCUUUAUUUGGGUUCCAUCUCAUGCCCUUGGUUCCCUCCCCCUCCAGGUUCCUGUUUAUAAGCCCCAUCCUUUUUGCCCCCAACUUGUAUGUGGAAAAAAACCAAAACUGUCUGAAUAAACCCUUUGGAGUAAACUA